rnacentral:rRNA from 1 species
GAUGAACGCUAGCUACAGGCUUAACACAUGCAAGUCGAGGGGCAGCAUGACGAUAGCUUGCUAUUGUCGAUGGCGACCGGCGCACGGGUGAGUAACGCGUAUCCAACCUGCCCACCACUUGGGGAUAACCUUGCGAAAGUAAGACUAAUACCCAAUGAUAUCCCACGAAGGCAUCCGAAUGGGAUUAAAGAUUUAUCGGUGAUGGAUGGGGAUGCGUCUGAUUAGCUUGUUGGCGGGGUAACGGCCCACCAAGGCUACGAUCAGUAGGGGGUUCUGAGAGGAAGGUCCCCCACAUUGGAACUGAGACACGGUCCAAACUCCUACGGGAGGCAGCAGUGAGGAAUAUUGGUCAAUGGGCGAGAGCCUGAACCAGCCAAGUAGCGUGCAGGAUGACGGCCCUAUGGGUUGUAAACUGCUUUUAUAAGGGAAUAAAGUGAGUCUCGUGAGACUUUUUGCAUGUACCUUAUGAAUAAGGACCGGCUAAUUCCGUGCCAGCA